rfam:Parcubacteria (Wolfebacteria) bacterium GW2011_GWC2_39_22 TT41_C0007, whole genome shotgun sequence.
GUCCACGUAGUUCAGCAGGAUAGAACGUCACCCUCCUAAGGUGAAUGUCGGGGGUUCGAAUCCCUCCGUGGACA